GAGAUUUGGGAGUGCUCGCAAGAGAGCCGGAACACAGGUGCUGCAUGGCUGUCGUCAGCUCGUGUCGUGAGAUGUUGGGUUAAGUCCCGCAACGAGCGCAACCCUUGUCAUUAGUUGCCAUCAUUUGGUUGGGCACUCUAAUGAGACUGCCGGUGACAAACCGGAGGAAGGUGGGGAUGACGUCAAGUCCUCAUGGCCCUUAUGGGUAGGGCUUCACACGUCAUACAAUGGUCGGUACAGAGGGUUGCCAACCCGCGAGGGGGAGGCUAAUCCCACAAAGCCGAUCGUAGUCCGGAUCGCAGUCUGCAACUCGACUGCGUGAAGUCGGAAUCGCUAGUAAUCGCGGAUCAGCAUGUCGCGGUCGAAUACGUUCCCGGGCCUU
rnacentral:rRNA from 1 species